UACGUAGGGUGCAAGCGUUUGUCCGGAAUUAUUGGGCGUAAAGAGCUUGUAGGCGGUUUGUCGCGUCCGCUGUGAAAUUUCGGGGCUCAACCCCGAACUUGCAGUGGGUACGGGCAGACGUAGAGGUGUGGUAGGGGAGACUGGAAGUCCUGGUGUAGGCGGUGAAAUGACGCAGAGUAUCAGGAGGAACACCGAUGGCGAAGGCAGGUCUCUGGGCCAUAACUGACGCUGAGAAGCGAAAGCAUGGGGGAGCGAACAGG
rnacentral:rRNA from 1 species